GACCACCCGGAGUGGUUGGCCGGCAGAGCGCGGUAAAAAAUCUCAUUUGGACAGAUUGAGUCGGGCACAACUGACCCAACUUUUCUUAGCCUCAGUCCUGGAAUGCCCUUUCUAUGAGGGUCCAAAACUCCUUUCUAAAUAUCAAGUGAAGUCAUUUCUUACCCCAUGCUUUUCCCUGGAGACCCCUGUGGAUUCUCAGCUUUAUAGAUAUGUGAAGAUCGGGCUGACUAACCUUUUAGGAGCAAGAUUAUAUUUUGCUCCAAAAGUGUUGACACCCUAUUGUUAUACAAUAGAUGUUGAAAUUAAAUUAGAUGAAGAAGGAUUUGUAUUGCCAUCCACAGUUAAUGAAGAUAUCCAUAAAAGGAUAGCACUAUGUAUUGAUGAUCCAAAAAGGUUUUGCUCCAAUAGCAAACACUUACUGGGAAAAGAAGCUAUUAAACAAAGACACCUACAGUUACUUGGUUAUCAAGUUGUUCAGAUCCCCUAUCAUGAGAUUGGGAUGCUAAAAUCAAGACGUGAAUUGGUGGAAUAUUUACAAAGAAAACUGUUUUCUCAAAACACUGUUCAUUAGUCACAAGAAUGAAUACUGACUUCAGAACUCAAAAAAAUGAAAGAACUUGCAUUUUUAUGGAACUCAG
rnacentral:sRNA from 1 species